CCGUUAUUACUGUCCCGACAUUAUUAUAUAAACCUAAUUCGGUUUUUAUAAGGAAAGGUCUAAACUUAAUUACGACAUUGAUGUAUCCCAGUGCUUGUGGAUUCGCCGUCGAUCGGAAUCUCGUGUCGCUGUCUUUAACCUAAUCCUUCUGUUCGUUCGUGCCGGGGAUUUAAAAAACCUAAGUUAAAGUGCGAAGCUUUGGGUUUGAAUGAUGCGAUGCAAGAGAUGCAAUGGAAGCAACUUCCAACGCGAAGAAGGCACGGGGAAUUCGUAUUGC
rnacentral:lncRNA from 1 species